GUCCUGGGUAGCCUAGUGGACAUGGCACCUGCCCGGUAAGCAGAGGGUUGUGGGUUCGAUUCCCGCCCCUGGACA
rnacentral:tRNA from 1 species